GGUAUCUCGCCUUCGCGAUCAGAUCCAUUCAUUCCGAAUGGAACUUGACAAGCCAUACCACUUAGCAUGUUCCAAAUUUAACCGAGUCUGGAUGAAAUAGAAUCUGGAUACAACCUAUUGUGUGGCCUUCUGAUUAGUGAUGUUACAGGAUCUGAAUAGAAACUGGGACACAAAUGUUACUCUCAUCAAGAGAACCAAGGAUCUGACCCGUAUGAGCCUUGCUGAACUGAUAUCCUUGAUCAAGUCUUAUGAAAUGGACGACAAGCAAAGAUUAUACAAUCACACCUCGAGCUACAACAAUGUUGCGGUUUCCACUAAUACCACAUUUCCCUCACCGUUUCUACCUCACCCACACCAUCCUAGUGUGACUAGCCUUAUCUCGCAUAUACUUGACGUGACUUGACGACCUAACCCGUACCUUCUUGUCAGCUUAUAGUGACAUCAGGUUUACUUGAACGAAUCCGAGAAGCUCAAGUUGAAGCAAUGAGAGAAGAGAAUUGGAAGAAAGAAAGAAUAGUUGGCCAAUUGAAAGACUUGGUGGAUAGUAACAAUGGGUUGAAGACUCGUUUUGGAAGAAUAUGGGUUCCAAACUCAUGUGGGGUUAAGACGCUUUUACUUGACGAAGCUCAUAAAUCCUGUUAUUCCAUUCAUCCGGGAGCGACUAAGAUGUAUAACGAUUUAAAACAGAAUUAUUGGUGGCCCGGAAUGAAGAGAGACGUAGUGAAAUAUGUGGAGAAAUGCUUAACGUGCUUGCAAGUCAAAGCAGAGCACCAAAAGCCAUACGGUAAACUUCAGCCGUUGGAUAUCCCGGUUUGGAGGUUUGGAAAUGGGAACAAAUUACAAUGGACCUAUUGAACAAACUGCCAAAGACGAUAAAAUUCUCCAGAUCCGUGAUAACUUGAUCAAGGCUAGGAGCAGACAUGUAACGCCCCAAAAAUUCGAAUGUUUAUAUUCACCAUAUGUUUCUAUAUGAUAUAUCAUGAAAUAAAUAACUAGGCUAUGUAACCUAGUUAAGUGUAUGGCAAAAACUAUUAAAGAAGGAAAGUUAUGCCAAUUAUGUUUUAGUAUCAAACAAGAGGGACUAAAGGUGAAGAUUUUGGGGUGGAGUUCUAAUUAAAAAGAAAACAAAAUGCAGAAUUUUGUGUGUCUGUAUGUGUGUGUUACGUGAUACGGAGAAAAAGAGGGAAGAACACCCUACUUGCUAAGCAUAAGGACGAAAAUCUUUUCAAUUGACUCAAGCAUGGAUGGCUAUCGGGUCAAGAGGAAGCAAGGAGGCAAGCAUGAACAUGGAUGCUAAAGGUUAGUAAGAUAUUCAUGAUGGACAAGUGAACGAGGGUCGAGUUGAAGAUCAUGCAUUGUACGGGAAAGCGGUCACGUUGUUUGUAACUAUAUGUUAACAUAGUUACAUUAAAUAAAUGAUCAAUGAUGUAUUUAUGUUAAAAGGGUUGACCUAAACGGUAUUCAAGUGUGUUAGAGCAGUUAAAAGAAAGAAAUUUUACGGUUCUUUUUCCGCUACGUCGUUUUGGGUCAAAGCGUGAUAAGGGUCUUACAAGACAAAGAGCUAUGCUGAUAAAAGGCGUAAGCCUCUGGAAUUUGAUGUUGGAGAUCAAGUGCUGCUCAAGGUAUCUCCCUGGAAGGGAGUGGUUCGCUUUGGUAAGAAGGGAAAGCUCGCCCCUCGCUAUGUGUGCCCUUUCACGAUACUCGAAAGGCGCGGCUGCGCAGUGGUCCCAAACAAGUUAUGAAAGAAAACAGUCUUCAACAGACAUGCACCGGAAAAAAGGAGAAACCAACAUUCAACUAACGCCCUUACGCGAGCCCUCGCAAGGAAACAGUUAGACUUGAAAAAUAGAAUCCUAAACGUCUCCGCGUGCCUAAAAUCAAGACUUGAAAGCAUCUUUUCUGUUGCAACAUAAUAGACACAUGGUAAGGGCAUAAUGGUUUACAGUUGUAGAUCUUUUAGAAGCCUUAAAUGCUCAUCGUGCAUAACCAUUCAGUUAUAACUAACUGUGAAGUGGCAUAAUCUGGAACGCUCAUCUAAUCAUGAUGAUGGCACUCGUUUGAAGGUUAAUCUAUAAGAAACCCACUUUCCACGUGGCA